UGACUGCUAUCGGAUUGAUACUAAGCCAUGCGAGUCAUUGUAGCAAUACAAGGCAGACGGCUCAGUAACGCGUAGUCAACCUACCCUAUGGACGGGAAUAACCUCGGGAAACUGAGUAUAAUGCCCGAUAGAACAUUAUGCCUGGAAUUGGUUUAUGUUUCAAAUGAUUUAUCGCCGUAGGAUGGGACUGCGGCCUAUCAGUUUGUUGGUGAGGUAAUGGCCCACCAAGACUAUUACAGGUACGGGCUCUGAGAGGAGUGGCCCGGAGAUGGGUACUGAGACACGGACCCAGGCCUUAUGGGGCGCAGCAGGCGAGAAAACUUUGCAAUGUGCGAAAGCACGACAAGGUUAAUCCGAGUGGUUUCUGCUAAAGGAACCUUUUGUUAGUCGUAAAAACACUAACGAAUAAGGGGUGGGCAAGUUCUGGUGUCAGCCGCCGCGGUAAAACCAGCACCUCAAGUGGUCAGGAUGAUUAUUGGGCCUAAAGCAUCCGUAGCCUGUUCUGUAAGUUUUCGGUUAAAUCUGUACGCUCAACGUACAGGCCGCCGGGAAUACUGCAGAACUAGGGAGUGGGAGAGGUAGACGGUACUCGGGAGGAAGUGGUAAAAUGCUUUGAUCUCUCGAUGACCACCUGUGGCGAAGGCGGUCUACCAGAACACGUCCGACGGUGAGGGAUGAAAGCUGGGGGAGCAAACCGGAUUAGAUACCCGGGUAGUCCCAGCUGUAAACUAUGCAAACUCAGUGAUGCAUUGGCUUAUGGCCAAUGCAGUGUUGCAGGGAAGCCGUUAAGUUUGCCGCCUGGGAAGUACGUACGCAAGUAUGAAACUUAAAGGAAUUGGCGGGGGAGCACCACAAGGGGUGAAGCCUGCGGUUC
rnacentral:rRNA from 2 species